GAUCGCAAGACCUAGCGCUUGAAGAGGGGCCCGCGCCUGAUUAGCUAGUUGGUGGGGUAAUGGCUCACCAAGGCAACGAUCAGUAUCCGGCCUGAGAGGGCGGACGGACACACUGGGACUGAGACACGGCCCAGACUCCUACGGGAGGCAGCAGUGGGGAAUUGUUCGCAAUGGGCGCAAGCCUGACGACGCAACGCCGCGUGGAGGAUGAAGAUUUUCGGAUCGUAAACUCCUUUCGAUCGAGACGAACGGGCUUCGGGCUAAUACCCUGAGGCAGUGACGGUACCGAGAGAAGAAGCCCCGGCUAACUCCGUGCCAGCAGCCGCGGUAAUACGGGGGGGGCAAGCGUUGUUCGGAAUUACUGGGCGUAAAGGGCUCGUAGGCGGCCAACUAAGUCAUACGUGAAAUCCCUCGGCUUAACCGGGGAACUGCGUCUGAUACUGGAUGGCUUGAGUUCGGGAGAGGGAUGCGGAAUUCCAGGUGUAGCGGUGAAAUGCGUAGAUAUCUGGAGGAACACCGGUGGCGAAGGCGGCAUCCUGGACCGAUACUGACGCUGAGGAGCGAAAGCCAGGGGAGCAAACGGGAUUAGAU
rnacentral:rRNA from 1 species